rnacentral:rRNA from 1 species
GUAGUCCUGGCUGUAAACGAUGUCGACUUGGAGGUUGUGCCCUUGAGGCGUGGCUUCCGGAGCUAACGCGUUAAGUCGACCGCCUGGGGAGUACGGCCGCAAGGUUAAAACUCAAAUGAAUUGACGGGGGCCCGCACAAGCGGUGGAGCAUGUGGUUUAAUUCGAUGCAACGCGAAGAACCUUACCUGGUCUUGACAUCCACAGAACUUUCCAGAGAUGGAUUGGUGCCUUCGGGAACUGUGAGACAGGUGCUGCAUGGCUGUCGUCAGCUCGUGUUGUGAAAUGUUGGGUUAAGUCCCGCAACGAGCGCAACCCUUAUCUUUUGUUGCCGGCGGUCCGGCCGGGAACUCAAAGGAGACUGCCAGUGAUAAACUGGAGGAAGGUGGGGAUGACGUCAAGUCAUCAUGGCCCUUACGACCAGGGCUACACACGUGCUACAAUGGCGCAUACAAAGAGAAGCGACCUCGCGAGAGCAAGCGGACCUCAUAAAGUGCGUCGUAGUCCGGAUUGGAGUCUGCAACUCGACUCCAUGAAGUCGGAAUCGCUAGUAAUCGUGGAUCAGAAUGCCACGGUGAAUACGUUCCCGGGCCUUGUACACACCGCCCGUCACACCAUGGGGGUGGGUUGCAAAAGAAGUAGGUAGCUUAACCUUCGGGAGGGCGCUUACCACUUUGUGAUUCAUGACUGGGGUGAAGUCGUAACAAGGUAACCGUAGGGGAACCUGCGGCUGGAUCACCUCC